AUGGUGACCGAACGGAUCGGCAACCUGGCGUACCGUCUUCAUCUUCCAGCCGACAGCCGAAUCCAUCCGGUAUUUCAUGUUUCUCAGCUGAAGCCGUACACCCCUGAUUACACUCCCGUCUUCUCCGAGCUGCCGCAGGUGCCAGAUUUGGUCACCAGUGAGACGGAACCAGUGGCCAUUGUGGAGCGUCGUAUGAUGAAGAAAGGAGAUGCGCCAGUAAUUCAGCUACAAGUGCAGUGG
rnacentral:rRNA from 1 species